rnacentral:tRNA from 2 species
GCCCCUGUGGUGGAAUUGGUAGACGCAGAGGACUCAAAAUCCUCCGCCGCGAGGCAUGUCGGUUCGAGUCCGACCGGGGGCACCA